rnacentral:rRNA from 1 species
AUGGAACAGCGCGGUGGUGUGGGCACCCCGUUAUUGUCGGCGCAGCGACCACUGUCGUGCUGCUCGGACCUGAUUCGCCUCCCCUUAACGCAGCAUUUUGGACGCUGCCUCCUAGCCUGUCGUCGUGUGGAGGAGACUGCACGGAGAAGCGACUUGGUUGGUUCUAGUCCUGUCAGUGCUGAGCUCGAGGAUGGCACCGGUAGCAUAUCAUUCUGGGACAGUGAACAACAUAUUGAGUUAUUGCAAGAGGAAACAACCCAGAUACUGAACCAAAAGGGGAUCGGCGGCACUGGGGGUGAGGGCCGGAAUCUGUCCGUGUACCUUGCGGUAUGCUGUCGGGACUGGUCUGUUUCUCAAACCAAGGCUCCCCUGUACAAGGUGGAAAUUGCCCUCUCCAAUUCCGACGACCCUUCUUUGCUGCCGGGAGCGGAGCCUGCUGGCCGGGUAACCCUGCACCGAGCCCGUAAUCUGGAAACUAACAUGAACGGCGAGACCUUCGUCUCCUUGUAG